rnacentral:lncRNA from 1 species
AUGCACCAAGUCCCAACAUCCCUAGCUAUAGAGGCUAGAAUUGUGACCUUGACCCGAAGAAUUGAAGCCCUAGAGCUUCAAGGACAAUCCCAUGCAAACUAAGUAUCUGUACCCAUGUGCAAUGGAUGCAGUGUAUCUGAUCAUAUCUUGGAGUGUCUCUAACUAAAGAGCCCAACUGAAAAUGGGUUUGCACAAGUCAAUGCAACAUAC